rnacentral:piRNA from 1 species
CAUACACACAAACUGUUAAGCGUGUUAUGU